AUUGAACGCUGGCGGCAUGCCUUACACAUGCAAGUCGAACGGUAACGGGCCUUCGGGUGUCGACGAGUGGCGAACGGGUGAGUAAUACAUCGGAACGUGCCCGAUCGUGGGGGAUAACGAGGCGAAAGCUUUGCUAAUACCGCAUACGAUCUACGGAUGAAAGCAGGGGACUGCAAGGCCUUGCGCGGACGGAGCGGCCGAUGGCAGAUUAGGUAGUUGGUGGGAUAAAAGCUUACCAAGCCGACGAUCUGUAGCUGGUCUGAGAGGAUGAUCAGCCACACUGGGACUGAGACACGGCCCAGACUCCUACGGGAGGCAGCAGUGGGGAAUUUUGGACAAUGGGCGCAAGCCUGAUCCAGCCAUGCCGCGUGCAGGAUGAAGGCCUUCGGGUUGUAAACUGCUUUUGUACGGAACGAAAAGCCUUCCUUUAAUACAGGAGGGUCAUGACGGUACCGUAAGAAUAAGCACCGGCUAACUACGUG
rnacentral:rRNA from 1 species